rnacentral:rRNA from 1 species
UACCAGCACCCCGAGUGGUCGGGACGUUUAUUGGGCCUAAAGCAUCCGUAGCCGGUUCUACAAGUCUUCCGUUAAAUCCAGCUGCUUAACAGAUGGGCUGCGGAAGAUACUAUGGAGCUAGGAGGCGGGAGAGGCAAGCGGUACUCGAUGGGGUAGGGGUAAAAUCCGUUGAUCCAUUGAAGACCACCAGUGGCGAAGGCGGCUUGCCAGAACGCGCUCGACGGUGAGGGAUGAAAGCUGGGGGAGCAACCGG